AUUUGGAGAGGAUGCUUCUGGCGCGGCGCCGUCCGAGUUCCUUGGAACAGGACGCCACAGAGGGUGAGAGCCCCGUACGGACGGACGCCCAGCCUAUACGAAGCUCCUUCGACGAGUCGAGUAGUUUGGGAAUGCUGCUCAAAAUGGGAGGUAAAUUUCUUCUAAAGCUAAAUACCGGCCAGAGACCGAUAGCGCACAAGUAGAGUGAUCGAAAGAUGAAAAGCACUUUGAAAAGAGGGUUAAAAAGUACGUGAAAUUGUUGAAAGGGAAGCGCCUGUGACCAGACUUGCGCCCCGCGGACCACCCGGCGUUCUCGCCGGUGCACUCCGCGGGGCGCAGGCCAGCAUCGGUUCUCCUGGGGGGACAAAGGCCGCGGGAACGUAGCUCCUUCGGGAGUGUUAUAGCCCGCGGCGGCAUGCCCCCGGGGGGACCGAGG
rnacentral:rRNA from 1 species